rnacentral:rRNA from 1 species
UAGGGAAUAUUAGAAAUGGACGAAAGUCUGAUCUGGCAACACCGCGUGUGCGAAGAAGGCCUUUGGGUCGUAAAGCACUUUUUGGAAGGAAUAGGAAGGAAUGUACUUCCAGAAUAAGUCUCGGCUAACUACGUGCCAGCAGCCGCGGUAACACGUAGGAGGCAAACGUUAUCCGGAUUUACUGGGCGUAAAGCGCGUGUAGGUGGUACUGUAAGUAGGGCGUGAAAGCUCCUGGCUCAACUGGGAGAGGCCGUUCUAAACUACAGAACUAGAGGAUGGUAGAGGGAGAUGGAAUUCCAGGUGUAGCGGUGGAAUGCGCAGAUAUCUGGAGGAACACCGGUGGCGAAGGCGGCCUCCUGGACCAUUCCUGACACUCAGACGCGAAAGCUAGGGUAGCAAACGG